AUUGAACGCUGGCGGCAGGCCUAACACAUGCAAGUCGAACGGUAACAGGAAGCAGCUUGCUGCUUUGCUGACGAGUGGCGGACGGGUGAGUAAUGUCUGGGAAACUGCCUGAUGGAGGGGGAUAACUACUGGAAACGGUAGCUAAUACCGCAUAACGUCGCAAGACCAAAGAGGGGGACCUUCGGGCCUCUUGCCAUCGGCUGUGCCCAGAUGGGAUUAGCUAGUAGGUGGGGUAACGGCUCACCUAGGCGACGAUCCCUAGCUGGUCUGAGAGGAUGACCAGCCACACUGGAACUGAGACACGGUCCAGACUCCUACGGGAGGCAGCAGUGGGGAAUAUUGCACAAUGGGCGCAAGCCUGAUGCAGCCAUGCCGCGUGUAUGAAGAAGGCCUUCGGGUUGUAAAGUACUUUCAGCGGGGAGGAAGGGAGUAAAGUUAAUACCUUUGCUCAUUGACGUUACCCGCAGAAGAAGCACCGGCUAACUCCGUG
rnacentral:rRNA from 1 species